CACUUUGACCCAAAUUCUCAUUUCCUACCCACUCUGUGGAAAGAUCUGUCAUCUUCAUGAACAUGAAGUCUUUGGACUCAAAGCACAGGGCCCCGUCCCUUGGUGAGGCCUGCAGCCACGGUGAGGACUGAUGGAUGACAUUUGCAAGAAUGCCAUUCUGUGCAAAGCUACCAGACGCUUUGGCUGAAGAUGGAGGCAGGAGAAGAAAAAUUUCUCAGGAAUCUGUCACACCUGACAUUUGGUAACUUUAUCAGCUGGGGCCAUGGAGAAGCUGUGUUUGGGACUAGGAUGCAUCUGUAACCUGAGCAUUCCCAGGGAGUGGCCCUGGCUUGUCCCCAGGCUGAGAGCUGCUAUCAGGAAAGCAGGGCCAGCUGGCGCCAGCUGGAGGAGAGGGAGCCCAGGACCUCUCCCCUACAUGUGUGAAGAGCCGCAGAUCCCAUGGAUGCCAGCUCCCAGAAAAGCAGGUGCUGGUCAGGAGGCGCCCCUGCAGGCAGUCUCUUCCCUGCCCUCCUCCUUUUCUCCCCACCCAGCCAGGGUCCAUCCUCAUAAGCUCUCUCCCUGUUCUCUCCCUAGAAUCCAGUUUCUCUUCCUCUCUGUGGUGGUGGCUGCUUCAGUCAGGCCUUUACCAACUCUCACCCACAAUCCAAGCUCCAUACUGAUGUGGCCACCAGCUUAGCUUCUCUCUAGUCCAGUGUUUGAUAAGGUCUGCCAACUGUCAGAAUCAUGAGGUGAGCGGGCAAGUACACAGGCUUAAAAUGCAAAUUCUCAGGCUCUGCCCUGGCCUAGCGAAUGAGAAUUUCCAGGCAGGGUAUAGGAACCUUUACCUUCAACCAGCUGUCUAGGAGAUUCUGCUGCGGGCUAAUCAUUCUUUCCUUGGCUGCCAUCUAAUUUUAUGUAAACAUAGAUUGGCUCAUAUCACCCCCUUGCUUUAGGUAGCUGGGGUGCGGAUGGGAUGGGCUGCUUGUGUCCAGAUGCGCCAGAUGAACUGGUCGGGUUGAGCCACGCCGUCUCUUUACUAAGAGCUGGAGAUGCUGCCUGACCUGAGAAAUAAUUCGUCUUAAGAGACAGGGCAGGCUGGACCUCGUGAGGAGGAUCAGCCCCAGGAAGGGCCAGUGCUUGGCACUAACUCGGCCCUUGGUUAGAGCCAAAUAGAUACCUGGCCCUAAUUUACUACUCCUAAGGACAGAGGGAGUCGUAAGUAAAAUCUGGACGUACGAUUGCACUAAACAUUGCUUAAUGCACUCAUGUACGCACAUGCAAUCACGUGCAGCAGCACUUUUUAGAGGCCCCUUUAGGAAAGCAUUUCUCCCACUUCCACACAGGGUGACUCUGGCCCCCCAACGACUCAGGGAUGCCUGGCUGGAGAAGGUAAAGACCAGCGCUAAAGGGCAGCAAUGCCUGCCAAGGGACACCAGGACCUCACCACUUUAAAAUGAAGGCUUUCUCCCCUUCCAUAGCUAACCCCUACCUGUCAUUUUAGCUUCAUCAACCCCCUCCCCAAGCAGGCACCCUGAUUUCCAGUCAUUCCAAACCAAAUGAUUCCCCUGUAUCCCCUGCAUGGGAUUAGGCUACAAACUUCAGUGGCAGGACAAUUCGUGGUUAAGGAACUUAAACCCUUAUGGAGAAAAACAGACAGUUGGCAGUUGAGACAAGAGAUAAGCUAGAAAAACUUCUGUAAACACUCAUAUAACCAGGACACCACGCAGAAUACACCACACAGAAUAAAGACAACGUUUGUGAUAUUUGCUCAUUUUAUUAAUUUCCAUUAGAAUUUGUAGACAAUGGAAUCUUCCUUCCCUGUAUUUUAAAGGAAAUGCUUGUCAAUGAAUUUUGCUUUGCCCCUGUAUUAUAAACAUGAAGGUACUGUCCUUGAUUUUUAAACUCAGAAUGGUUAGCUGUUGCUGUGUUCACAGGUCCCACAGCUGCAGUGUCACCUGGGGAAAUGGUAACUUGGAUGCUUGCACAGAAAACAUGGAGUUGUCCUCUUGCCAGAGGCACAGCGUCCUUUCUGCUUCUGAUCUUUGGGCCAAAGCUUGCACCAUCUCUGCUUCCCCCAUCUCUGAUCCCACCACAGUUAGUUCCAAGGCCAGAGUCAGCUCCCUGUAACUUCCGCAGAAGCAUCUAAUGGACAAGACUUCAGCCUGUACUCAUCUCUGUGGAAGGAGGCGGAUGCCACGACUGCUCACCCUUUUCACUCACCUUAUUCUCAUCUUCCUAUAAUCUGGUUCCCACAGAGUAGUCAGAGUAAUAAUUGGAAAGUAUAAAUCAGUCUUAUCAUGUCCCUACUUAAGAUCUUCCAAUGACUUUCCAUUCUCCUUGGAAGAGAAUCCAAGCAUUUGGCCAUGCCUAAACAGCCCACAUGGCCUGACCUCUGUGACUUCUUCAUCUUCCUCUCCUACUUUUCUUCCUCUUCUCCAGCUCAGUGAUAUUGGCACCCUCUUGCUCCUCAUCCAGCACAUCAGGGUCCUUCCUGCCCCAGGGCCUUUGUACUUGCUCCUUCUGGGGUGUCCUCCCCACCCAGUGCUUCCCAUCGCUGGCUCCUUCCCAGGUCAGAUGUCCUGACCUCAGAGAGGCCUUCCCUAACCACCUCUUUACACGGCCCCUUUUCUUCUCUCACACUUAAUCUCUUUACCUUGCUUUAUUUUCUCAGCACAAAUCGCCAUCUGCAAUUCUUGCAAUUAUUUAUCUAUGUGUUUACAGACUGUCUUCUCUGACUAGAAUGUCAACUCCCAGAGGCCAGGAACCUGCUCUCCUUGUUCAUGGGUAUGUCCCCAGGACCCAGCCCAGUGCCUGGCACACAAUUAGCACUCAACAAGGGCAUACUGUGAACAUAUAUCCAGACCUUGAGGUGAGGUGGCUUAGGAGGGCUGGGCCUUGGAAGUGGCACAUCCACCUGGAGGCACUUGGAUCGAUGAGAUGACCAGACCUUGUGGCUUGGACAGGUGAGCAACACUUCCUGGUGAAGGUGUAGGCAGUAGCCACCAAUAGUGGGGCCUCUCCUCUGUCACCUUUCCAAUCUCUUAUCUCCUUCCAAUCCAUAUCUGAUUCCUAUUCUCCACCUUUCUCAGAAUACUUUCUCAUUCAGACCUAUUUCUUUACCUUUUUGGUUUUAUGAUGUUGUGAUGUCGUUCAUAUAAUUUAGAAUAUGCCAUUACUUUACUUGCAGUUGGGAAAGCUACUAGAUCCUAAACUGCCUUCUAAUACAGAGAGAGUCACCUUCAAUACUGCUGAAAGUUAGAGGCACUUUUCUUUUUGACUAUUUAUGAGCCUUGUACAAUUACUAGUUAGAUGAGUUUACUGUAAAAUAUCUUUAAAAGGAUAAAAUAUACUUAUAUGAUUCCUUUAUGAAACAGCUCACAAAUCAUGUAAAAAUGAACUGUUCCAGGGAAAAUAAGCUGGCACUUAGAUCCUUAACCAAUUUUCUUUUGUGUUUGCAUACACGUCUGUCUGCGAUAUUAUAAACUUCCCUCAAUUGCCCUCCUGCAACAUCAGAUUCUUAAUUAAAUGAGCACCCCUGCUACAAUUCUCUGAUAAAUAAAAUAGCAUUUCCACAUGAAUUAAAAAUGCCAACUUGUUAAUAGCGUCCCUGAGGUUUUGUUACAAAAUCAUCACUCUUUCUUGUCAUUGUUCAGGCAUAAAAAGACCAUAUUACAAUCUGGAAAUAAGAAUGUUCUUCAGGCAAUUGAUUCUCAAGUGAAGACUUAAUAUUCCAUAAGACAGCUUUCCCCCUCAUUCCUAUUAUAAUACAUGACAACAGUUAAUUGCUUAGAAACGUUUCUCUUAUUGUUUUAUUUUAUUGAAACUCACCAAAUUCAGAUGAGCUGGAAGAGGAAGCUGGCCUGAACUGAUUUGAGAAGUUACAUUAAAAAAUACUAGGUAGCAAACUUCUUAGAGGCAGACAGCCUGUUGUACCUGUCUUUGCUUUCCUAGCAUUUAGCUAGGUAAUUCGGGCAAGGUACUUAGAGGCCUUCAUUUUCCUUCUCUAUAAAAUGGUCAUAAUCCUAGGCCUGUUGUGAAGACUAAAUGCUUGGAACUGAGGAACUAGCAUGUAAUAAACAUCUCACAAAUGUUACUGGCUUAAAACGACUCAGUAAUUAUCUGCCACCCAGGCUGCAAGGCAGUGGCCGAUCUCGGCUCACUAAUCUCUGCCUCCCAGGUUCAAGCAAUUCUCCUGCCUCAGCCUCUCAAGU